AAGAGGAUGAGAAGAAGAAGAUGGAGUAUGAGAGCAUAUUCUUUGAAGUAGAUCAAUGCCAAACCUUUGAAGAGAAUAUGCUAGUAUUGAGCUUCAAAGAGUUUCUCAAUGUUCAACAUU